rnacentral:rRNA from 1 species
AGAGAAUGACUCUCGGCAAUGGAUAUCUCGGCUCUUGCAUCGAUGAAGAACGUAGCGAAAUGCGAUACUUGGUGUGAAUUGCAGAAUCCCGUGAACCAUCGAGUCUUUGAACGCAAGUUGCGCCCGAAGCCAUUAGGCCGAGGGCAUGCCUGCCUGGGUGUCACAC